ACGAACGCUGGCGGCGUGCUUAACACAUGCAAGUCGAACGGAAAGGCCCUGCUUUUGUGGGGAGCUCGAGUGGCGAACGGGUGAGUAACACGUGAGUAACCUGCCCUUGACUUUGGGAUAACUUCAGGAAACUGGGGCUAAUACCGGAUAGGAGCUCCUGCUGCAUGGUGGGGGUUGGAAAGUUUCGGCGGUUGGGGAUGGACUCGCGGCUUAUCAGCUUGUUGGUGGGGUAGUGGCUUACCAAGGCUUUGACGGGUAGCCGGCCUGAGAGGGUGACCGGCCUCAUUGGGACUGAGAUACGGCCCAGACUCCUACGGGAGGCAGCAGUGGGGAAUAUUGCACAAUGGGCGGAAGCCUGAUGCAGCAACGCCGCGUGCGGGAUGACGGCCUUCGGGUUGUAAACCGCUUUCGCCUGUGACGAAGCGUGAGUGACGGUAAUGGGUAAAGAAGCACCGGCUAACUACGUG
rnacentral:rRNA from 1 species